AGAAUCAACGCUGGCGGCGUGCCUAACACAUGCAAGUCGAACGAGAAAGGGGAGCAAUCCCUGAGUACAGUGGCGCACGGGUGAGUAACACGUGAAUAAUCUACCUCCGAGUGGGGAAUAACUGAGAGAAAUCUUAGCUAAUACCGCAUAACACUUACGAGUCAAAGCAGCAAUGCGCUUGGAGAGGAGUUCGCGGCCGAUUAGUUAGUUGGCGGGGUAAUGGCCCACCAAGACGAUGAUCGGUA
rnacentral:rRNA from 1 species